rnacentral:lncRNA from 1 species
CUUAUUCCUGUCUAAAGAAGAAGGUGGACAAGGGCUAAUAAACUUGCAAAGCAGAACAGCAGCUUUUCGGUUGCAGUUUAUACAAAGACUUCUUUUGGGAUCGAGUGACUUUGGUUGGAGCGCUGCUGCAUGUGUUAUUUUACGGAGUCUCGGAGGCCUACAGAUGGACAAAUCUCUUUUCUUUUUAGACCCUCUGGAACUGGAUACUCUCAGAAUGCCAAUUUUUUAUCGCAAUCUUUUUAAAGUAUGGAGUCUUUUUAAUCUUCAAAGGACACCAUAUAUGGAAUCACUUUUUUGGUUGCUAAAUGAACCUAUAGUACAUGGGGCCCGAUUGGAUAUUUCCACUGUUGACCACAAUUUUCCUGGACUUAAUACAUUGCUUUAUAAAUCCAGGAUCCCCACCCUUGGUCUCCUUAUAGAUGUGGCUGGUCAUAACUUCUCGAACACUGAACAAGUAGCUUCCCAUCUAGGUGUUGUUUCAACUCGUAUAAUUGCUCAACUGAUGGGAAAGUGGAAAUCUGCUCUUACAAAUGAGGAGAGACAAUUAUUGACAGACUACUGUACAGGAGUAAUGGCUCCUAAUGCUGAGGACCCUUUUCCGACCAUAUACUUGUCACCCAAAUUAGGUGAUUGUGUGGGUCUGUUUUUAAGAGCUGGGAAAUCUUUGUGUGUAGAUUUCUUUUCAGUCACGGGGAAAAUGUUGUACAAAAUUUGUGUUUUGGUUUUUAAUAAGAAAAUUUUAGAUAGUAAAGUGGAUACACUGUGGCGUUCAUAUUUUAAACUAGAUGACAAUGUUAAAGCUGAAUGGAGAGUUUUGUAUAAGCCACCGUUAACAAAGCGAGUAGGGGACAUACAGUGGAGGGUUCUCCAUGGAGCAAUUGCUGUCAAUGCUUUUAUUUCUGUUUUAAAUCCUGAAGUAAGCUCUGAAUGCCCUUUUUGUUUUAAUAGAGAAACUGUCUUUCAUGCUUUUAUGGAGUGUUCUAGACUAAAGUCCUUAUUUUCUGUAUUAGGAAAUCUUUUUGACUGUUUUAAUGAAAUAUUUUCCAAGGAAACGUUUAUUUUGGGUAUCAAGUAUGUGCAGAAGAGACGUGUUGAUUGUCAGUUACUGAAUUUUAUUUUGGGUCAAGCUAAGCUGGCCAUUUACUCAAGUAGGAAAAAUAGGAUCGAACAGAAACCUGGACAAAAU